rnacentral:rRNA from 1 species
UACGUAGGGUGCAAGCGUUAUCCGGAAUUAUUGGGCGUAAAGAGCGUGUAGGCGGCCAGACAGGUCCGUUGUGAAAACUCGAGGCUCAACCUCGAGACGUCGAUGGAAACCGUCGGGCUAGAGUCCGGAAGAGGAGAGUGGAAUUCCUGGUGUAGCGGUGGAAUGCGCAGAUAUCAGGAGGAACACCAAUAGCGAAGGCAGCUCGCUGGGACGGUAUUGACGCUAAGGCGCGAAAGCGUGGGGAGCAAACAGG